rnacentral:rRNA from 1 species
UUUCUUGACUCUUCAAAGGUCUUGGAAUAAGAGGUGGGUAAGGACGGUGCCAGCCGCCGCGGUAAUACCGGCGCCUCAAGUGGUAGUCGAUUUUAUUGGGCCUAAAACGUCCGUAGCCUGUUUGGUACAUUCGUGGGUAAAUCAACCAGCUCAACUGGUUGAAUUCUGCGAGCACGGCCAGACUUGGGACCGGGAGAGGUGUGGGGUACGCUCAGGGUAGGGGUAAAAUCCUGUCAUCCUGAGCGGACCACCUGUUGCGAAGGCGCCACACUAGAACGGAUCCGACGGUCAGGGACGAAGCCUAGGGGCACGAACCGGAUUAGAUACCCGGGUAGUCCUAGGUGUAAACGCUGUGGACUUGGUGUUGGGGAUUCUCCGAGGAUCUUCAGUGCCGAAGCGAAGGUGAUAAGUCCACUGCCUGGGGAGUACGGUCGCAAGGCUGAAACUUAAAGGAAUUGGCGGGGGAGCACCGCAACCUGAGGAUUGUGCGGUUUAAUUGGACUCAACGCCGGAA